rnacentral:ncRNA from 1 species
UAAAUAAUUGAAGACAAGAUGAUCUAAUCAAUAUUACACAGAAAGCCAUUACUUGAUGAGAAUAUGGUUAAUAAAUUAGAUGAUUACUCCUUCAUUUUUGGUAUUUGUAAUGAAUACCCGGCUCAAGACCGUUAUCUUAAGCAGAGAUAUUUAAUGCGAUUGAUAGUAUUAAAUAACUAGGGUGGUACCACGACGAUCUCGUCCCUUGU